UACGUAGGGGGCAAGCGUUGUCCGGAAUCAUUGGGCGUAAAGAGCGUGUAGGCGGCCCGGUCAGUCGGUUGUGAAAGUCAAGGGCUCAACCCUUGAAUGCCGGCCGAUACUGCCGGGCUAGAGUCCGGAAGAGGUGAGUGGAAUUCCUGGUGUAGCGGUGAAAUGCGCAGAUAUCAGGAGGAACACCGAUGGCGAAGGCAGCUCACUGGGACGGUACUGACGCUCAGGCGCGAAAGCUAGGGGAGCAAACGGG
rnacentral:rRNA from 1 species